AGAUUGAUGAUGACUCCCUCAACCUGCAUUCCUUGGAAAAGCUGAACAAAAUGAGUGAGAACUCCCUACUGUCAUUCUCAUCAAAACUGAGGUCC
rfam:Canis lupus familiaris chromosome 3, whole genome shotgun sequence.